ensembl:lncRNA
GUGGAUUCGUGGUGGGGUGUGGAAGAAGGUUGUGUCAUGUGGACAGGCGAUGUCCUGGCUGUGCUGAGUGACAUGGGGGUCUGGGUGGUGGCACUGGUGGUCAUGGUUAGCGGAGGAGUGGAGUGUGUGGUUCCAGUAACCACGGUGGCUGGAUGGGUGGUACUGGUUGGCCUCAUGGUGGAAGCAGAAGAGACCGUGUGUGGGCUGGCUGGCGUGCUGGGAGAGGUAGGUGCUACUGAGGUCGUUGUGAGGGUUGGAGAGACACUGGGAGGUAGGGUCUGGGGUUCAGAUGUGGUUGGAAAGGUGCUGGUGGUCGUGAGUGAUGUUCCUGAGGUGGGCACUGUGGUGAGUGUACUAUGGGCGACCGACAGUGUGGGAACGGAAUAUGUAGAGAAUGGCGUGUGGGCACUGGUGGGUAUGGCAGACGUGGUGUGGGCCACUGUGGUGCUGGUUUCUGUACUGGUUGGGUAGGAGGUGAUGAUGGCUGAAACGGAAGAUGUGGAUUCGUGGUGGGGUGUGGAAGAAGGUUGUGUCAUGUGGACAGGCGAUGUCCUGGCUGUGCUGAGUGACAUGGGGGUCUGGGUGGUGGCGCUGGUGGUCAUGGUUAGUGGAGGAGUGGAGUGUGUGGUUCCAGUAACCACGGUGGCUGGAUGGGUGGUACUGGUUGGCCUCAUGGUGGAAGCAGAAGAGACCGUGUGUGGGCUGGCUGGCGUGCUGGGAGAGGUAGGUGCUACUGAGGUCGUUGUGAGGGUUGGAGAGACACUGGGAGGUAGGGUCUGGGGUUCAGAUGUGGUUGGAAAGGUGCUGGUGGUCGUGAGCGACGUUCCCGAGGUGGGUUCCGUUGUUUGUGGAGGGUGGGACACGGGCAGCGUGCGUGCGCUAUGGCUGGGUGAAUGGGUCUGCAGCGUGCUUGACGUGAUUUCCGUGUGUUGCAUUGUUGAUGCUGUCGCGGUGCCCCUGCUCUCCCUGGUAUGCUGUGUGGCCAGGGCGGUCUCUCCCAAAGUGUAUUGUUCUGUUGUCUGUGUGAGUGUGACCGGCCCUGUUCCUGGCAUUUUCUCUUGGGUGCUUGUCCCUGUGGGUGUAAAGGAGUGUCAUCAUGCAGUCUGUCUCUCCCUUUAGACCUCUGGUUUUUGCUCCCGUCUUGUUCCCUGUACCCCUUUCAGGCCAUCUGGGUUCCUUGAGCCAUUCAUAGGCGCUGUUACUCUGAACUUGAGGUUCCUCUUCCUCCCCACUUGUGCAGUCCCGGAUGUGCCGUUUGUGGUACUGGUUUUCGGCAUGGGGCCCCAGGGUUUGGUGUGUGCGUGGUUCCAGGCUGCCCCCCGUGUCCCCAUAUGCUGGUGGGCCCAUCCUUCCCCUUUAUCCUAUGGGAAGUCCUGGACUUCCUCCAUGGCUGACCUGCCGUGCUCAGCUGUGCUGGGACUCGUGGCCUGGGACUCCAGGUGUCCCAUGGGCCCUUGCUCACCUUGUCCAGGAUUCCUUGUCCACGUGCUCACGGUCAGUGGUACCACUGUGGUCCGUGCUGUGGACUGAGCUGUGGAUGUAGUGGCUGGGCUGGGGGAUGAUGCUGUGGGCUCUGUCGUUGCUGUAGUGACUGUAUAUCCUGUGGCUGUUGACAUCACCGUGACUGUAGGCACCCGAGGAGAGGUGGCAGGUGUGGUGACUGCCGUGGUGGUCGGAGGGGAUUCUGCAGGGAACAGGCCCUCUUUGUGUUCCCCAGCCCGUGUCUGAGGUCCCUCCCUUUCCUGAGACCCAGGCCCUUUCCUGCCUCAGCCUCCUGGAGGAGUACUGGCCUCUUGGCUUCCCUGCUCUGACCCUGCACCUUCCAUUGUCUGUGUGGCAGUGGUGUCCUGGUGCCAGGAGCAGUGAACACAGGGUCCUCUGGGCCCGCUGGGUGGACAGAUGUCCGGUCCCCUCAGUGCCUGGGCAGCAGGACAUGUCCUCC